rnacentral:rRNA from 1 species
CGCGUAGGAAUCUACCUUGUAGUGGGGGAUAGCCCGGAGAAAUCCGGAUUAAUACCGCAUAAUACCUUAGGGUGAAAAGGGGCCUCUCCUUGGAAGCUCCUGCUAUUAGAUGAGCCUGCGUUGGAUUAGCUAGUUGGUAAGGUAAAGGCUUACCAAGGCGACGAUCUAUAGCUGGUCUGAGAGGAUGAUCAGCCACACUGGGACUGAGACACGGCCCAGACUCCUACGGGAGGCAGCAGUGGGGAAUAUUGGACAAUGGGGGCAACCCUGAUCCAGCCAUGCCGCGUGUGUGAAGAAGGC